GACAGUGAUUCUUCCCUGGGACUUGGGAGUUUAUCAGAAUCUCCAGGGGUACUUAAAAUUUGAAAAAGUCCCCCAGGUGUGAUUCUGAUUUGCUCCCUCUUCCUCUUUCUCUGAGAAUCACUG
rnacentral:pre_miRNA from 12 species